rnacentral:rRNA from 1 species
CGCGUAGGUGGCCUUCUAAGUUGAACGUGAAAUCCCUGGGCUCAACCCAGGAACUGCGUCCAAGACUGGGAGGCUUGAAUCCGGGAGAGGGAUGCGGAAUUCCAGGUGUAGCGGUGAAAUGCGUAGAUAUCUGGAGGAACACCGGUGGCGAAGGCGGCAUCCUGGACCGGUAUUGACACUGAGGCGCGAAAGCCAGGGGAGCAAACG